rnacentral:rRNA from 1 species
CUCCCGGUUGAUCCUGCCGGACCUGACUGCUAUCGGAUUGGUACUAAGCCAUGCGAGUCGUUGUAGCAAUACAAGGCGGACGGCUCAGUAACACGUAGUCAACCUAACCUAUGGACGUGGAUAACCUCGGGAAACUGAGAAUAAACCGCGAUAGAUCAUUAUGCCUGGAAUGGCUUAUGGUUCAAACAAUUUAUUGCCGUAGGAUGGGACUGCGGCCUAUCAGCUUGUUGGUGAGGUAAUGGCCCACCAAGGCUAUAACAGGUACGGGCUCUGAGAGGAGAAGCCCGGAGAUGGGUACUGAGACACGGACCCAGGCCCUAUGGGGCGCAGCAGGCGAGAAACCUUAGCAAUGUGCGAAAGCACGACUAGGUUAAUCCGAGUGAUUUCUGUUGAAGAAAUCUUUUGUCAGUCGUAAAACCACAGACGAAUAAGGGGUGGGCAAGUCUGGUGUCAGCCGCCGCGGUAAUACCAGCACCUCGAGUGGUCAGGAGGUUUAUUGGGCCUAAAGCAUCCGUAGCCGGCUACGCAAGUCUCCGGUUAAAUCCAGCUGCUCAACAGAUGGGCUGCCGGAGAUACUACAUAGCUAGGGAGCGGGAGAGGUAGACGGUAUUCUGUGGGUAGGGGUAAAAUCCACUGAUCCAUAGAGGACCACCAGUGGCGAAGGCGGUCUACCAGAACGCGUUCGACGGUGAGGGAUGAAAGCUGGGGGAGCAAACCGGAUUAGAUACCCGGGUAGUCCCAGCUGUAAACGAUGCAAACUCGGUGAUGCAUUGGCUUAUGGCCAAUGCAGUGCCGCAGGGAAGCCGUUAAGUUUGCCGCCUGGGAAGUACGGACGCAAGUCUGAAACUUAAAGGAAUUGGCGGGGGGGCACA